UACGUAGGGGGCAAGCGUUGUCCGGAAUUAUUGGGCGUAAAGAGCGCGUAGGCGGUCUGAUAAGUCGGUUGUGAAAGUCGGGGGGCUCAACCCUCGGAUGCCGAUCGAUACUGUCAGGCUAGAGUCCGGAAGAGGCGAGUGGAAUUCCUGGUGUAGCGGUGAAAUGCGCAGAUAUCAGGAGGAACACCGGUGGCGAAGGCGGAUCUCUGGGCCUUGCCUGACGCUGAGGCGCGAAAGCUAGGGGAGCGAACAGG
rnacentral:rRNA from 1 species